GACGGACAGACAGACAGACAGACAGACAGACAGACAGACAGACAGACAGACAGACAGACAGACAGACAGACAGUCUGUAAAAAGGCCGAUGGAUUUCCUUUCCUGCCAAGAACCACAUAUUCCAGGUUCUUUCCGAGUCUUUAUAAACCACAUACCCAAAACAACAAAUAAUAAAUUAUGUACAGAAAGCUACACGCCGGCGUGUACAGCUCUGAGUCUACGGCAACCUUCCUUUUCGUGGUUUAAAGAUUACGGUGUUCGCCUCUCAUUCAGUAUAUCCCGGGUUCGAAACCUGACAGCGACAAUAUAUUUUCACUUCUAAA